rnacentral:misc_RNA from 1 species
AAGCAGACUGGUUUGUCUGAGGGCUAUGGGUUUGUAGAAUUUUUUACACCUGCAGAAGCCGAGCAGGUUCUGCAGAGCUAUACUGGCAUUUUGAUGCCUAAUACAGAACAGCCGUUCCAGUUCCGUCUCAACUGGGCAACAUUUAGCACGGGUGAUAAGCGAUCAGACAAUGCGCCUGAUCUUUCUAUUUUUGUUGGAGAUUUAGCUGCAGAUGUUACUGAUAGUAUAUUGCAUGAAACUUUCGCUGGUAGAUAUCCAUCUGUUAAAGCUGCUAAAGUUGUAUUUGAUGC